rnacentral:lncRNA from 1 species
ACUUGAACCCAAGGCUGGCACAAAAGCCAGAAGGUCUUACUCUCCACCAGCUCAGGGAUUGUGAAGAUCUCUGUGCAGACUCUGCCCUGCCAUUGGACAGCAUCCCUGAGACAUGUAUUUUGGCAAUUGUGAUCAACCAGAAUCCAGAAAACGCUGUGCUUAAUGGAGUGAACUGCCUGUGAAGCGCAGGUGCGAGGGGCAGAUGAUAGGAGACAGUGCUGGUGCCCCCAGCGCCCUUUUACCUGACAGCUCACCCGGCCUACAGCUGCGCUCUUCCCUUCGAAUUGUCUUGGGUAAUGGGUGCUGCUUUGGAAAUGCCUGGAAGGUCAUGUCCUUUCUCUGGGGAUGGCUUCCAGCUGUGGUUGACUGAUAGCAGGGGGCACAGAAGGCCAGACACACCUUGCCUCAGGUGGGCCAACUCUGAGGGUUCGUUUGGCCUCCAGAUGGACUUCAGCUGAGCCUGCAUCUUUGCUUGGCUUUUCCCACUGGCCUAUUCUGCUUCCCUCUCCUUAAGGGUCCUCCCAAGAGAACUCCCUUAAUAAAUCACUUGCACAAGGA